UACAGAGGGGGCAAGCGUUGUUCGGAAUUACUGGGCGUAAAGGGCGCGUAGGCGGCCUGCUAAGUCGAACGUGAAAUCCCCGGGCUCAACCCAGGAACUGCGUCCGAUACUGGUUGGCUUGAAUCCGGGAGAGGGACGUGGAAUUCCAGGUGUAGCGGUGAAAUGCGUAGAUAUCUGGAGGAACACCGGUGGCGAAGGCGGUUCUCUGGGCCUGUACUGACGCUGAGGAGCGAAAGCGUGGGGAGCGAACAGG
rnacentral:rRNA from 1 species